CCAAUUAGCUACUCUUUUUGGAAAAUUAUUGUACGAGCCAUAGCACUAAAAAAUAAUAGUGCCCUCUUAAAAAUAAAAAGUCAGUUUUUCCUUAAUUUGAAAAAGAUGACACCUUAUAUUUAGAUAAAAAAAAUGCAUACACACUGAGUGCGCUCAAUAAUUUCAAUCACAAUUACUAUCACAUAAUCCUGAGCCUGAGAGAUUCAGG
rnacentral:misc_RNA from 1 species